UAUGCCUUCUUUCAUCACACAAAUUGGUUUAUAUGCUGAAAAAUCCAUACAAAAACCCUUCUUUUGUCUCCCAUUAGAGAUAGAAUUUGAUUCAUUUUAAAUUGAAUUCAAAAGGUUUGAAUUUAAACCUAAAAUCCUAUCCCUAUCCUUCUACACAUUAGCUCCUUGUGAAGGCACCUAUUAUGUGUGACCAAAAAGAAGUGUUCUUGAUUAUUUUUUAUGCCUAAAAUUCUUUGGUAGGUCCCUAUUUAAGUCAGAUAAGGG
rnacentral:lncRNA from 1 species